UACGUAGGGUGCAAACGUUGUCCGGAAUUACUGGGCGUAAAGGGUUCGUAGGUGGCCAACUAAGUCAGACGUGAAAUCCCUCAGCUUAACUGGGGAACUGCGUCUGAUACUGGAUGGCUUGAGUGUAGGAGAGGAAUGCGGAAUUCCAGGUGUAGCGGUGAAAUGCGUAGAUAUCUGGAGGAACACCGGUGGCGAAGGCGGCAUCCUGGACCGGCAUUGACGCUGAGGCGCGAAAGCUAGGGGAGCAAACGGG
rnacentral:rRNA from 1 species